UCGCGAGCGGUAGAUGGGUGGUAGCAGUUCCCGUCUUUCAACUCUUCAAGUCGGGCAAAAAACGUGAAUGUCUUUGAAUCUCUACAGUCAAGUGCUGCAUUUUGCAUAGUUUCUUUGUCUCUACAAAUUCUGCACCAGCUAAAUCACGAAAAACUACGAGCGACGCAUGUGACUGCAAUUACGAUGCUGGCAGUUCGUCAUAAAAAUGGAGGACGCUUGCAAGAUACUAUGAAUCGUGCGGAAUAAGGGCCAGCGCGACUGAAGUGAGAAACGCUGCAAAUACAUGAAUACUGGGGGCCUGGCAAAAAUCAGCAAAGCUGCUACACAGUUCCCACAGAAUUCCCAGUUCACUCACAAUUGGCUUUGGGAUGGACAGGAUUGCUGACAGUUGAUGCCAAAAAAUCGGUUCAGUGCAGUCUACAGAAUGCAAAAAAGAACGCCGCCGAAGCCCAUGGGGCACCAAGAACUGAUGUGGGAAGAAAAAAACACCACGACAGCGAAGACUUCUCCGAGUCAGACGUUUCGGACUCUGAAUGUAUUGUGUCAGCUGCUGAAGUAAAGAAGGCUAAUGAACAGGC